ACCGCCGAGUUGUGGAGAGGAAUUAGUGCAGCAGCCAAGAGAGGGCGAUGCUAUCCUCGGCUCUCACGGCAUUUUUUUCCUUUGUUUCUGGGAUUCCUAGUGAAUGACAUUUUUCCAUUGAUGGUGAUUUUGGUGAUGGGAUCAGUGCAUUAGUUGAUUGGUUUUGGUGAAUUUGGUUUCAUGGUGAAUCUUUUAAUUUUAGUCUUGUGAAAUUUUGUGGGAUAUUUAUUGUGAUUCCUAGUUUUCUAAUUAACUUUUAUAACUUAAUUGAGAAAUUUCUAGAAGUAAAACAAUAAAUUUCUCAGUUUCUGGGUGACGGAGGCGCUGGAUCGGCGAGUGCCGGCACUGGAUCUGUGUGCCCCGCCCGGAAAACGGCACCUCGUGCCCCGUCACGCUCAUCCUGGGUGACGACAUCGGACCCCUCGUCCCCAGAGCCGUGCAGCAGGUCAUGGAGCUCGCCCCUCUAUUUCAAGACCUGGUCACGGGAGACGCGCAACGGAGCUUGACCCUCUACUCCAUCCGCCCCUGUUCUGCCUCAAGGGUGAGAAGGAACAACGAGAUCCGAAUGGUGCAAGUGCGCCAUAUGCGCCGCGAGGUCGGGCAGCUGCUCGACGGCAACCAAAACAAAGACGGCAUGAAUCAGGGGAAAGCUGAAACUGAGUUCAGUCUGGUAGCACGUGUAGUCUGAUGGAUAAAGGUAUGUGCCUUGUUGCUUUUUUAUUGAAUACUCAAUUUUACGAUCAGCGUUUCAAUUAUGUGUCCCUGUGACCUUUUUGGAUUAAGCAUUAGCUUGUUUUUUAAUGGACUAAUUGAAGACAUGAAAGUAUCAAACUGUAUUGGGGAGUACCAUUAUAUGAUUCAUCCAUAUACAGUUUAGACAUCCAUUAGCAUGGCCUGAAUAAACCUCUCGUCUUUGAUCUGUGCAUGGGAAUUUGAUCUGUGCACGGGAAUUUUUUUUAUUUACUCAUGUCUAGAUUUUCCAAGAUUUAUUGUUAAAACUUGUUGACCCUUGUGCAUAAUUAUUCAUGUUAUUGGGGACUAUGAACCUUCACCAACUUCCCCGAUUUUGAUAAUGUGCAUUAAACUGAAAGUAACUCAUGACGGCUCCUACAACACCGGAGUAGCGGGAGGACGCCGCUUGCGCAUGGGAGCACUGGGACGCCGUCAACUUCAACUUCUUAUCGGAGCAGCACGAUGACCGCCACCAGUACUCUAGUGUAGUUUCACUCUAGUUCUUCUCUGAAUAUGUUCCAUGUCUCUCAAUAUUUUUCCAGUUUCUCAAAUCAAAUGAAGACCAGAGGGCGCAGGCGGGCAACUGGUUGAGCGCAGUAGAGCUCGAACCCCUGGCGCUGGAGAGGGUGAUUCGCUGUCCAUGUUGUGACAUCCUGCAUGGUCACUCUGUCUAUCAAAUAAGCACUAGACUAUACCACAGUAUUGCAGCAACAAAUAAAGUACUGCUUGCUUAUUAAAUUCCUGCGUCGGCUAUGAGUUACUGGGAAAUGGAGGCGCUGGAUCUGCCGUGCACGGCUUGCCUUAGGUUGAUCCCAAUGCUGCGGGAAGACUAUCGCCUGCCCCGCCACGUCUCGAAAAGAAACUCAGAAAGGUGCUUCAGGGAGAUCAGGGCUAGGUGUUGCUGGGGGAUGAAAGUGGAAUAGUUGGGUGGAGGAGCAGCAGGAGGCCGAAGGUGGAGUAGAUGCAGAGAUCGGGAGCAUCCGGUCGAGCAGUUGAACAUCGAGGCAGAGCCAGCUCUUCGCUGAGCACCUGAUGACCUGAUGGUCGAUGGGCGAAGGGGAAGCAGAUCCCACAUGAUCGUGGCUGGGCGGAGGAGAAGCAGCUACCAGGUGCUCCUGGGCGAGGGAUCAUGGUGGAGGCAGAUCACAGGAGCACCUGGGCGAUGAGAUCGUGGUCGAGGUGCUCCUGGGUGAAGAGAUCGUGCUCGAGGACCUGGGCUAAGGCGAGGCAAGGAAGAAGGAUCCGUGAGGAGGAAGCGAUCGCGAGGGGAAUCGCGAUGUGCGAUCUGAAACAAAUCAAGGGUAGGAAGGACUUUUUAGUGUUUUUUCACCUGGUCGGAACACUCCCCCAACAUCUUACUACAUUUUAGAUUGGAGGGAGUACAUAACAAAACAUACAACAGACUACAGCAGUGUGCAUGCGCGUGAGAUGAUAAGGACUGAAAAUAUGAGGAGUCCCUGUUGCUCCCGUGACUACCAUGAUUGGUGUCUAGAUAUUUUCUACAAUGUGACCACAUAUCGAUGUUCUGUUCAUCUUCUCCUACCUCUCCUUCUAUGGUGUAUAUAAACAAGAAAAUGCUAUGGUGAUAAAAUAUAGGCUCAUUUCUAUAA